rnacentral:rRNA from 1 species
UACGGAGGGGGCAAGCGUUAUUCGGAAUUAUUGGGCGUAAAGGGCGCGUAGGCGGCUAGAUGUGUCAAAGGUGAAAUCCCUCGGCUCAACUGAGGAACUGCCUUUGAAACUGUCUGGCUUGAGGCCGGGAGAGGAUAGCGGAAUUCCCAGUGUAGCGGUGAAAUGCGUAGAUAUUGGGAGGAACACCAGUGGCGAAGGCGGCUACCUGGACCGGUUCUGACGCUGAGGCGCGAAAGCGUGGGUAGCAAACAGG